rnacentral:rRNA from 1 species
UACGAAGGGGGCUAGCGUUGCUCGGAAUCACUGGGCGUAAAGGGUGCGUAGGCGGGUCUUUAAGUCAGGGGUGAAAUCCUGGAGCUCAACUCCAGAACUGCCUUUGAUACUGAGGAUCUUGAGUUCGGGAGAGGUGAGUGGAACUGCGAGUGUAGAGGUGAGAUUCGUAGAUAUUCGCAAGAACACCAGUGGCGAAGGCGGCUCACUGGCCCGAUACUGACGCUGAGGCACGAAAGCAUGGGGAGCGAACAGG